UGCUCUAAAGUUAUUUAUGAACUCUUUUAACC
rnacentral:piRNA from 1 species